CUAACACAUGCAAGUCGAGCGGAUGACGGGAGCUUGCUCCUUGAUUCAGCGGCGGACGGGUGAGUAAUGCCUAGGAAUCUGCCUGGUAGUGGGGGACAACGUUUCGAAAGGAACGCUAAUACCGCAUACGUCCUACGGGAGAAAGCAGGGGACCUUCGGGCCGGGCGCUAUCAGAUGAGCCUAGGUCGGAUUAGCUAGUUGGUGGGGUAAUGGCUCACCAAGGCGACGAUCCGUAACUGGUCUGAGAGGAUGAUCAGUCACACUGGAACUGAGACACGGUCCAGACUCCUACGGGAGGCAGCAGUGGGGAAUAUUGGACAAUGGGCGAAAGCCUGAUCCAGCCAUGCCGCGUGUGUGAAGAAGGUCUUCGGAUUGUAAAGCACUUUAAGUUGGGAGGAAGGGCAGUAAGUUAAUACCUUGCUGUUUUGACGUUACCGACAGAAUAAGCACCGGCUAACUCGGUGCCAGCAGCCGCGGUAAUACAGAGGGUGCAAGCGUUAAUCGGAAUUACUGGGCGUAAAGCGCGCGUAGGUGGUUUGUUAAGUUGGAUGUGAAAGCCCCGGGCUCAACCUGGGAACUGCAUCCAAAACUGGCAAGCUAGAGUACGGUAGAGGGUGGUGGAAUUUCCUGUGUAGCGGUGAAAUGCGUAGAUAUAGGAAGGAA
rnacentral:rRNA from 1 species